CUUCUCCAUUGCAAACCAUCCCAAGAAACACUUCUCAUUCUUAUUCUCUCUUCUCUUAUACUCUCUUCUUUCCCUCUUCUUCUCUUUGAAGACCAAGGGAAAUCUAGAGGAGGAGGUUCUGUCCUAGUUUUAGCUCCGGUCCCUAUUUUAGACGGAAGGAGCUUUGGGGAGGCAGCUGUGCUAUAGUCUCAGUUUCUGCCCGAGUUUCAGUUCAGGAUUAUCCAAAUCAGGUGUGAAGCCAUAGGAUAGCAAGGAGUCUUCUGGGUAGCUGCUUUGAGAAGUGGCUAGGCUUAGAGCUUGACCAGCACCUAGGGUGUUUCUGUUAAUGGUUAAUGUUAAUAUAUUUUGGAUGACUGUAUGAUUUUACUGAGAAUGACUAAUAUACUUAUGUUUGCUAUUAUGAAAACAAUUUUUACACUCUA